rnacentral:rRNA from 1 species
GAGUUUGAUCAUGGCUCAGGGUGAACGCUGGCGGCAGGCCUAACACAUGCAAGUCGAACGGCAGCACAGCAGUAGCAAUACUGUGGGUGGCGAGUGGCGGACGGGUGAGGAAUACAUGGGAAUCUGCCCUGUCGUGGGGGAUAACGUAGGGAAACUUACGCUAAUACCGCAUACGACCGAGAGGUGAAAGCGGCGGACCGCAAGGCGUCGCGCGAUUGGAUGAGCCCAUGUCGGAUUAGCUAGUUGGCGGGGUAAAGGCCCACCAAGGCGACGAUCCGUAGCUGGUCUGAGAGGAUGAUCAGCCACACUGGAACUGAGACACGGUCCAGACUCCUACGGGAGGCAGCAGUGGGGAAUAUUGGACAAUGGGCGCAAGCCUGAUCCAGCCAUGCCGCGUGAGUGAAGAAGGCCUUC